GGGCAGAGAAUAGUUCUCCCUCUUCUCUCUCUUCUGCAGGUCAAAGCAAGCAGCAAAUUCCUAAUGCCCAAUUCUUUGCCUUUCCUCGCCGUCUUCUUCUUCUCUCCUUCUCUCCUUCUCUGUAUCCUACAGAUCAAUUCCCUUUCAAGUUUGGAUUCAAAAAAUGUAGUCUGCAAAACUCCUUCACCUCAUCCCAGAAUUCAAAAUUCAAAAUUUAAAACCCCCACUCUCUUCACACCCAAAUCAACUCACAUAAUCCCCACUCUCUUCACACCCAUUCACAUCAUGAUCUCAUCUGGGUUUUGAUAUUAAAAAACAUGUACGGAAGAGAUCCGUGGGGCGGAUUCAGCCACCGACGAUGAUCGGAGCCGGAAUCUGAACGAUUUCGAUAAGGCAGCGUUGUCAUGGCCGUUGGAUGAGACACAGCAAAGCUGGCUCUUGGGUCCCGGUGAACAAAAGAAGAAGAAGUAUGUAGAUCUGGGUUGUAUUAUUGUCAGCCGUAAGAUCUUUGUUUGGACGGUUGGAUUGAUUUUAGCGGCUGGGUUUAUUGCUGGGUUUGUUACAUUGAUUGUUAAGACUGUUCCUAGGCAUCAUAAACAUCCACCUCCUCCUGAUAAUUACACUAUUGCCCUUGGGAAAGCUCUCAGGUUCAUUAAUGCACAAAAAUGGUGUCGAUGGAUCAAUUUGAACAUCUCUUCAGGUUCUUUUAAUAACCUUAGUUUCGGGAUAGCUAUUCAAGUCAUCUGCACAUUUUUUCCAGUCGGUUUAUUGUUUAUGAUACCAGAGGAAGCUACAGGGAUGUCAUCAUAAUAGAAGGUUAUUAAGUUAAAUAGAUCAGUUAGCGGACCCAGACAUCCAGGAGUUAUCGGCGACCAAGGGUCAAUAUCUAUAUUAAGAUAAAGAAGCAGGGUUGAGUCAUCUCACACACAUUUCAAUAGACUAUAGUUUUGUACAAGAACGAGAAUAAGGAAAGCCAAAGAAGACGGAAUAUUGGGGACUCUAUUUGAUUUUUUUUUAUCACAACAGACCCAGACAAAAUAUGUCAUUGCUGGCAGUUGUUUUGUGUUGGAUGAUUGGCCGCUUCGGCAACCUCCUUGAAACAUACUUUUUUUUUCUAUUUAACAUUGAAAAAAGUUGGCCACUGCUUCACAAAAAAAUUGUGAGUGUGACGGUGCUCGGUUGUGCGACAACGUUGAUUCCGCCAGAAGCAAAUGAUCAUUGUCAACUAUGAAAAGGUUGUGAGAGAGAUUGGGGUAUAAUGUGUUUCCAGUAAAGUUACGCCUUGCAUCCCCGCUCUGAACAUGAACUGUACGAACACCUCAAGUGUCGCUGCCAUGUUAAUUCCACCGUAAACUCCUCGACAGGGUUUCUGAUCUGCGACUCAGGGUGCACACAAUUCAGGGUUGUUCGUCUUGUGGUGUUUACACGGAUCCUAAACAUUUCAGGUCUCAAUUUCUACUCUACUUCUUUAUUCGGGUUGUAAAACUUUAAAAUUGAGAUUUCAUUAACUUUAAUCUUUUGUUUUUAGGAUUUAACCAUCAGAACCUUUUUUAUUUUUAUAAAUUUUCGUUGUUGGUUUAACCACUUCUUAGUGCCCAGUGUGUCCCUCAACAAUUCUUGGAUGCCAAGGAGGAAGAAAUUUGGUAAAAGCAGGUUUUUUUUUUUGGUAAACGUAUCAUAUUUUUUGUUGCAUCUUUUAUCAAAUUAUAAUAACAUUAUAAAUAUAGGAGGAUACGAACAAUCAGUGGUAAUGUGUUUUUUUUUUUUUUUGUAUUUUUUUUUCUCCUUUUAAAACAUGUUACUCUUUGAAUUUUCUAUGGUGGUUAUUGCUUUUUUGAUGUGACUGGUGAAUUAGACUAUGAUGAUAAUGUUUUUUUUUUCUAGGGUUUGUGAGUUUUGGAGAUUUGGUUAAUUACUUUAUUGGAGAAGGAGGUUAAGGUCAUAAGUUAGGAAUUGAAUUUGAUUGGAUUCUGUAUAAUUUAGGGAACAAAGUGAUGUCUUAGUUUAACUAGGGCUGUUCAUGAGCCGAGCCGAGCUAAGGGCAAACUCGGGCUCGGCUCGAUUAUAAACCGAGCUGGCUCGGCUCGGAUUUGAAACCGAUCUAAAAAUCUAAGCUCGGGCUCGGCUUGGUUUUAAACCGAGUUGGCUCUGCUCGGCUUGGUUUGGCUUGAUUUUAAAAAUAAAAGUUAAUACAUAGCUCUCAAAAUUCGGUAUUCUAAAAUAUUAUUCAAUACUUCAAAAAAACAUAUUCAAAAUAAGUUCAACCUAAUACAUUACAAGCCAAAAUCACGUUCAACAACGCAAAAUAAGUUUUAUAUUUCAAGUAAAUACAAUAUUUAUUCAUUAGCAGGACAAUCAACCUUUAAAUAUGUCAUAGAUAUCAAACUACAAGCCUAAAUACAUGUAUAUAAUAAUCACUUUUUUGUAAUAUAUUAUAUGUAUAUAAAAUAAAAUAUAUUAUAAGUAAAAUAAUUCGAGCUAAGCCGAGCCGCGCUACCAAGCGAGCCAAACCGAGCCAAUUUGGCUCGUCACGAGUCGAGCCGAGCUAGGCUCACUUUCUAGCCGAGCCGGCUCAGCUCACUUUUAAACCGAGCCAUAUCUAGCGAGCUUUUUCUGAGCUAAAUCCGAGCGAGCUUCGGGCGAGCUCCGAGCCGCGAGAUUUUUGGACCAACGAGGAAUAUUAACGAAUUAACUAUGUGUGUUAGCUAUGUAUUCAAGACGUUUAUAUCCAUCAAUUUGUCUCUAUAUUUUGAUUUGAAAGCUUUGAUUUGUGAUUUUCGGCCGCUAAAAAAAGAAACAUGUUAUUUUCAUUAAGGAGGUACAGCACUUGCUAACAAAAUAGAAUACAAGAAUACAACUUUUCUCCAUUUGACCCGUUUAAUGUUUUGGUAGUUUUACAUACAUGAUUUAACUUGCAGUUUAAUACUUUGGGUUCUUAUGUUCGAAAUCUUAUUUAAUAUAGGGUAACUUAUAUGUGGUAUAUUUUUUUUAUCUUGCAUAGAAGUCCUCAAUAAAACCAUCGAUCUGUAAGGCUUAUCAAUCAUUUUGUGUUGUUUGCAGCGAAGAAAGAUUACUUACUACUCAUGUGUUUCAUCUACGUGGAGAGAUAAACUUCUUGUGCGGGCUUCAGUUGUUACUGUUAUGCUAUGUUUGGCUAAUCAUACAAGUCAAUUUUGGUUUUUUCAUGGGCUAAUCAUACGCGUCAAUAUUUGUUUUUUUUUUCAUUUUAUUUAAGUGUAUACUGUAUGAUAUUUGGAGGAAAUUGUAAUUUCGUGUGGUUUUGAGAGAUUUUAUGCUAUGUCAAAUACUGCUAUAAAAA